rnacentral:rRNA from 1 species
AUUGAACGCUGGCGGCAGGCUUAACACAUGCAAGUCGAACGAGUGGCGGACGGGUGAGUAAUGCCUGGGAAUCUAGCUUAUGGAGGGGGAUAACUACGGGAAACUGUAGCUAAUACCGCGUACCAUAGGAUGAGCCCAAGUGGGAUUAGGUAGUUGGUGGGGUAAAGGCUCACCAAGCCGACGAUCUCUAGCUGGUCUGAGAGGAUGACCAGCCAGUCUGGAACUGUGACACGGUCCAGGCUCCGACGGGAGGCAGCAGUGGGUAAUAUUGCCCAAUGGGGGCAAGCCCGAUGCAGCCAUGCCGCGUGUAUGAAGAAGGCCUUCGGGUUGUAAAGUACUUUCAGCGAGGAGGCGUUACUCGCAGAAGAAGCACCGGCUAACUCCGUGCCAGCAGCCGCGGUAAUAC